UUUUUAAUUAGACGAAGCCAGCUGACAGUAGCUAAUGUCACUUUGUGAAAUAAUGUUGCUAUAUUUAAAGUAAUAGUGAUGCGUUCAGUUCUCAUUUAAUCACAUGAAUGAACAAUGAGUGUGAAGAGUUAAUCAUUAAUUUCAAACUAUAAAAGAAUAUUAUUUAUAUUUUACAAUAAAAUUGUAUUAAAGUGCUCCAAUAUAUGUUACUAGUAGUAUGUAACUACAAUCAGUUUUUUUAUUUUCAUUACCUACCUAUAAUUGUUAUAUUUUAUACAUCUAUAAUUUCAACUAUAUGAUGUAUUGGAAAUAGGACAGUCUUACAAGCUUCCUCGCAAUGUUUUUCUUAAUGUUUAAAACACUCGGUAUUCAGUACAGGUAGAUACUAUAGGAACAUAAUAUUUCGUCGAAAACUCGUUGGUAUGUUAAAAGCACGCCUAAAAUUCGAACCCCGUACCCGAUAUCGGCAAUUCGGCACACCUACUAUUCACUAGACAAUCGAGGCAAUUUCAUUAAUUCAGGAGUUUUUCAAUCGUUCACUUUGUCACAACACUAUUUUUAUUUCAUCAAAAACUGACAACACAGUAAACGUCAGUUGACUUCGUAUAAUAAAAAAUCCGACUAUAACAGAAAGGCCUACGUAACUAUUUUACCUAAUAAUUGUCUACUUUAAUAGUUUUUCUAUUUUUCAUUCAUGUUUGCUACCUCAAUACAAGAAUGUCUAUAAACCUACUCAAUUAUUUGUCGUACUUGACAGGGGAUCGGGAGGAUCCGAAGUGACAUGUUUUGGACGACGAUGAUUGUUUACCAUUUGAUCCUCUGGAUCGGGAAAAAUACUCAAAAACAGCGGGCGAUUUACAGAAACAGAGAGGCGCUCAAUAUGUUCCGAGAUAUCAAAUGGCAAACACCGUGUUGGCGCGCCCGAAAGCGAAAAUGUCCAACCGUCAUUCCACAGGACUAAGCACGGUUUCUGGUCUAACGUUCAAUGUGUAAAAGAAAACUUCACAAAUCUGUAUUAAAAAAAAAAACACAAAAACGUCAAGUAAAACACGUAAACGUAAAUUAAUAAAUCUAUAAUUUAAUAAAUACUCUAAAUUAAUCAGCCGAAA